AUAUAUAUGUCCCUCGAAAAAAAAAAAACAGGAAGAAAAAAAAAUUAGAAUAUAUUGGUCCUUUUUUCUUUCUCUUUCUUUCUAUAUAUAUGUGUGUAUUAUUAAAAAUUUGUGGUUAAUU
rnacentral:ribozyme from 1 species